rnacentral:rRNA from 1 species
ACAGCAGUCGCCGCGGUAAUACGAAGGGUGCAAGCGUUACUCGGAAUUACUGGGCGUAAAGCGUGCGUAGGUGGUGGUUUAAGUCCGUUGUGAAAGCCCUGGGCUCAACCUGGGAAUUGCAGUGGAUACUGGGUCACUAGAGUGUGGUAGAGGAUAGUGGAAUUUCCGGUGUAGCAGUGAAAUGCGUAGAGAUCGGAAGGAACAUCUGCGGCGAAGGCGACUAUCUGGGCCAACACUGACACUGAGGCACGAAAGCGUGGGGAGCAAACAGGAUUAGAUACCCCUGUAGUCCCUGUCUCUUAUAC